CCAGUCUUCAUGUCAACCUGUUCAACCUUUCAACACAGAUUCAAAUCCAAUUGGCAGAUGUGUUUUGUUUAAACUGCACAGCAUUAAAAAAAUUUAUGUAGCUGCCAAUAUUUAUAAUAAAUCAGGAUAUCUCGCAUGCACAGAAUUGUAUUUCUUGCUUCUCUUUUAAAAUAUGAAUAUCUAUCAACACCACAUCUGCAUUCCAGUAUGGCUGGAGCUAAAUAGUAGUUGUCCCUAUGGACUGGGCAGGUGGUCACCAUAUCACCCCAACUCCUGCCACUCACUAUUACUUAUUUCUGGCCCAUUUCACUUAUUAUAGCUCUAACGUUGUCAAGCCCUCACUUGACCUAAUAUCCUCUUAUACAAAAAGUAGAAAACUGAGGCCUAAAUGAAGUGAAAUAAUGGAAUCUUGAGUCAAAGAUCAGUCACCCCCAGAAAUGUGUGAACCUAAAAAUAAAAACCUCACAGGAAUUAAAUUUGCAUAGGCCAGUCCCUCCUCCUAACAUAACCUGGUGGCCAAGCCUCCAUAAUACUCUGGGGCCAGGCUCUUGGUUAUGUUUUAGAAUUAUUUUUAAUUUAACUUUUGUUCUUGUUCACUCAGUGUCCCACAGUAAGGUGCACUGGGGGCUAAAGGCUUGAAAAAGCAAACAGAGUUAGGGGCCCUAAGUUUCUUCUCAAGAGUUCAGAUGGAAAUCAUAAAACCACCACACCAGGUUCCAGAUGAGUUCCACUGGAAGCUGGCAAAAACCUCCCGCCCAGCCUGGUUAAUGGCACUUAAGCACUGGAUUGUUUGACUGCCACUCUCCCUUACUGGAAUUGUUAGAAUAAUCUCUCUCUCUCUCUCUCCCUCCCUGCCUCCCGUUUUUUUUUUUUCUUUUUUUUCUUUGAGACAGAAUUUCACUGUCUGGAGUGCAGCAGCACGAUCUCGGCUCACUGCAACCUCCGCCUCCCAGGUUCAAGCGAUUCUCCUGCUUCAGCCUCCCAAGUAGCUGGGAUUACAGGUGCCCACCACCACGCCCAGCCAGAACAACCACUCUUUAGGACCUGGACAUACCUGCCACUCUCUGUGCCCUUUCCACUUGGCUUCUGAUAUUCAUGACAAGAUGGGAGAUGAUACUAAAUGGGCCCAUUUCUUCAGUGAUGGUUUCCCAUAACUAAGCAGUGUCGUUAGAACCACCUAUAUUAUUGCCGAGCCAGCUGGAGUCUUAAAAGUUUAUUUCCUAGAACACAUAGUCCACAUAAUCUCUUCCAUUACUGCUGGAAGGCAGCAGGGUACCUCUCCUGUAGUGCCUCAUGCCACCACAAAUAGAUCAUGCAGAAAUCAGGUGGCAAUGGGGUCUCUCCUGCUAUUUGCACCAUAUGAUGGCUGUUUGUUGUGCUGGACUCUUCAUUUGCCACUUGAGCCACGGUGUUCAGCUCCUAUCCGCCCUGGAAAAAAACACUGGCAAAGUCAGCUGGGCCAGGAUGCUUUGCAUUUUGAGGAAUCAUGAAAUGGCCAGUCCCAGCUAAUGGAUAAAAGUAGGAGCUGCCAGAAUGGAAAUGACUAUCAAAUCUGAAGAGAAAACAGACGAGACUUGUGCCACAGAGAGCAUCGAUCCAGGACUACGGGGUUCAAGGCUCUCAGCUCACUCAGACCAUGGGGGCCCUUUCUACUGGACACUUCAAAUUUCAGCUGGGGCAUGGAGACAGUUUCUGUUUUUCCCGGACCAGCCACUGUUAAAAGAAUGUCAAGAGAUUAUGGUUUUGUUGGGGGUGAAUUGCUGAGAGAAACAGAAAAACCUGAAAGAUCAAACUGGAAUCCUCCAGGAGCUGGACUCCACGGUAGAAGGAGAGCGGGUGCCUUCACUUCCACCCCCUGAAGUCUAGAGACCAUUUUGUAUCAAAUUGUACUUAGCAGUCAUGGAAGGAAGCUUGCACAAACUUAAUGUUCUUCAAUGGCUGUGCUCACUUAAAGUUAAUUUUAUUGUGGCAGUUGUUGUCUUGAAAGUUUAGAAUAAAGAGACUCCAGGAGGUCUUUUCAUAACAGAUAAUGAUGCUGGAAUGCAGAAAUGUUUUGCGGAAUAGCUUGGAGGGAUAAAUUAAUUAAUUAUUUGGGCUAAAAAUGAGCUGGAAAGAAAUGGAAAAAAUACUACACUUGGAACUAGAAGACCAAGGUUCAACACUCGGCUGCCAUACUCACUAGUUGUAUGACCUUGAGCAAUACAGCGAACCUCUCAGAGCCACAUUGUCAUCUGUAAAAUGGGUAUAAUGCUAACAUGCAACUGGUCACAAGGUUGUCAUACAGUACUAAUAAAAUAGUUAUCAUUAGUUUCAGUUGACUGAUGAGGAAACUGAGACUCAAAGGGUUAAAUGAAUUUCCCAAGGACACAUAGCUAGUGAGUGGCAGAGCCCAGUUUAAAACCCAGGUACAUGUGGCUGCAAUGUCUCAAUUCUUCCAUGCCACCAUUCUCUGCAAAUAUGUUGGGUUUAAUAUUGGUUAUUUGAACUCCAUUCAUACCUAGGUCCCAUCCUGCAGCACCUGGCAAAGAAAUUAGUAAAUAUUAGGUAUUCAUUAUGUAUUUGUUGAAUAAACCAACCCAUAAAUCAAUCAGUGAGUAAGCUAACAAUUUUUUGAUUCAUUUACAAAUACUAUUAAAUAGUUAUGUGCAUAACACAUGGGUGAUGAUUGUUUCAUGUUCAUAAUGUCAUAAAUAUAUUUCUCCAAAUUUGAUAUGUGUGUUUCAAAUGUUAAUGUUUGUAUAUAUGUUUGCAUCUGUAAUGUAUGAGUGUGUGUGUGUCCAAAAGUGAAGGAACAUGAGAAUAAGAUAAAAACAAAAGCAACUGUAUUCUGUGAACAGCCUCCUUGGUAUUAGAUAGAUGCCAGCACCUGUCUUUGGAAACUCUGGAAGCUCUCUGGGCAGUAUCUCCUUCCACACCUCAGCUGACAGCCUUUACUUUGAAUUGCAUAGAGAAUUGUCUUUGAGGAGCAAUUCUAGCUCCUUUCUCCAUCAGCAUUUGGUACAUAGAAAAGGUCAGACUUGCAAUUGGAUCUAUUUUCUGCAUUCCCAAGGUUCUGGCUCAAAGUGAAACAUCAGGGAGCUUUGUGAUCAAAUAACCAAUGUGAUGAGACAGCCUUUCAUUACACAAUAAAGGCCACCGGCGCCUGCUUCCACCUUGCCAUGUGGGACAAAGGUGGUCUAUGGAAUGCUGAACUUCCAAGUCUGGCUCAAAAAUGCAGUUCAGGCCUCCAAGACAACACCCAGCUGCCUUUUCCAUUUGCAGUAAUGUUUUCAAAACCUCGAUUCUCCUUUUCCUCUUGGCUAUAGAUUUCAGACUGGUCUGGAAUCUUUGUGACUUCAUAGGCUCAUAGAUAACUAGGAGUCACAACUCUCAUUCUUAUUCCACCUCUUAACAACUAAGUUAUUUGGGGAAGUUCCUUGAGCCCUCUGAGCCUCAAGUUUCUCCUCUGUGAAAUGGGAGUAACGAUACUUAGAGGUUCAAAUGAGUGGCACAUAUUGAAGUGUGGAAUGCUUAUCAACUGCAAGGUUUCAUUAAGCCAAAGUAGGAAAAUGCUAGCAUAUGUGAAAGAUAAAAAUAUAAAUUUUGACUAUGUAAAGGUUUCCCAGUUGAAUUUGAAUUUCAAAUAAACAAAUAAUUUUAUAGCAGAGAUAUGUCCCAUGCAAUACUUAGGAUAGACAUACACUAAAAAUAUAUUUGUCAUUUAUCUGAAAUUCGAAUUUAACCGGGUGUCCUACUUUUAUUUUUUUCAGAAUAUGGCAGUUCUACUCCCAGCCUUAGCCCCUCAGCCACAGUCACCUGGCUGAACUCAGAGCUUGGCAGGUAUAGAAUGUGGGCCAGGUUGGGGGGUGUUGGAUUUCUGGAGCUACAAGAGAUUUGCUCCAGGUACCUGAGGAAAAGGUGUCCAGAAAGGUGUGAUGAGGAGAAGCACAGGAGGGAGGGAGAGAAAGAACAGUACUUUGUUACCAGAGCCAGAAUCCCAUUGAGAGGCUGCCACUGCCACCUCAAGACUCCAUAAAGCUCCAGUAAUAAUUACCACCCUCACAGCAUCCAUCACAAUGAUCAAAUGAGAUAAGGCACAUCCAGUGCUAAGACCUGGCACUUAGCAAACUCUCCAAAACAGCCUUUAUUAUUAUUUUUUGAGGGACUGAGAAGUAGCAUGUAUUGGACAUAUUGAUAUCCCCAGCCCCAAAGUGAGUAUUGUAUAGAUAUCAUCUCAGGCAAACAUCAUAACAAUUUUCCAGGGUAGUUCCUGUUAUUGAUUGCAGUUUACUAAGGUACAGAGAAGUUGACACCUCCACAAGUCCUCUUGGCACUUGAUAGUAAGUGGUGGAGACCACAUUUGAAUCCAGGCCUGCUUGUGGUUAAAGUCUACCUUUCUGCACUGCACUAAGCUGCUUGGAAGAAUCCUUUCGGGGUCCUCAUGUUUUGGUAACCCAUUUGCUGCUGACACCACUAGAAGACUUGAAGCCAUUUCCGAAUGACUUCAAGCUGCUCCUUUCUGAAAUAGCGUACUGUUACCCAUUUUAGAGAAGGCACAUGGGGACAGGAAGUGACUGUCCCAGGUUGCCUCUUAAGAGAUUAAGUGCAAGAGGCUCCAAGCUGAAAUGGAGGCAUCAGGACAGGGUCCUGACCCCCUUCCAGGCCCCCUUACUGACCAGCCCCUGAGAGCAGGGCUACACUUCUGUCUGGUGACCUCUGCUAGUGUUAAGGGGCCCACUCUUUGCUCCAUCUCUCUUGGCCCAGAGCCAGGGGUGGGCUGUGGAAAGACACAAGGGUGGAUAAGUCUGAAUGGACCCCCCCUCCAAUGGUCACACCCCCCCCAGCCCCAAUUCAGUUAAAGAUUGCAGGAAGUGGUUUGUCCGUUUAGAAGUCUUCACAGCUCUGAGGCCCUUCUGAGAAAUUAACUUGCAGUUCUCUAAAGAUAGAUUGCGCAAAAUGGGAGGGGGCAGCCCCCAAGGACCCUCCAACAGCAAUUCUCCUGAGGACUUCCAGAGACCUCU
rnacentral:lncRNA from 1 species